rnacentral:rRNA from 1 species
UACGUAGGGGGCGAGCGUUGUCCGGAUUCAUUGGGCGUAAAGAGCUCGUAGGCGGCUUGGCAAGUCGGAUGUGAAAACUCCAGGCUCAACCUGGAGCCGCCAUUCGAUACUGCUAUGGCUAGAGUCCGGUAGGGGAGUGUGGAAUUCCCGGUGUAGCGGUGAAAUGCGCAGAUAUCGGGAGGAACACCGAUGGCGAAGGCAGCACUCUGGGCCGGUACUGACGCUGAGGAGCGAAAGCGUGGGGAGCGAACAGGA